ACAAAGUACAGAGCUCACUUAUCAUACCUAGCAGCUCUAAGAGUACAAAUGAGAGUAUAAAAUACCACUUUUUUUUCAGCCCUUUGGUUGUUAUUAAGUGUUUCAGGCUGUCCCUUUACAUGAAAGUCAAACCAACGUGACAGCCUAUUUGCAUCUGUGUUUUUAUCGUACAGCUGACAGGAAGAGCUGUAGCCUGGGAGGUAGUUGUUUCUUCUUCUAUAAGAAAACUGCUUAAUGAACACUGAUGAGGAUGUGCAUCUGCUUUACCCUUCAUGCCCUCUCUUCAAAGAAACAGGCAAGGAACAAAAUAGUCGAGGAAACAGGCUUUGCUUUAAUGUCUAUUUUCCUAGGAAAUCCUGCUGAAGGCUUACAGAAAUCGCUCUGGGGGGAAAAAAAUCGCUAUUGUCAGAAUCUGCCUGUCAGAAUCACCCUGGUACAUGUGACUUGCUGACCUACAUAUACAAAUCUACAUGUACACAUUACAAAAUAAAAUCAUCACCUAUGGUCUAAGAGGUGGCAGACAAGAGGUGCAGGAGGUCCUGGAGGAGAACUCUCUUCUCUCAGGUGGGCCUCACAGUGUGUGAUAGGCUGAAUGCAGAUCUGUGACUCCACAAGCUGGUGUAAAACCUGAGGAUCCACGUUAUAUCAAAUCCAUUGCCGUGUCAUCUGAUCACAUGCUUCAGUGGAAGGGAUGAGACUCAAAGAAAAUCUGAUCUUUUGUACAAAGGAGUUAACUUGGUCAAUAUCACAAAUUUGCUUAAAAAAAGAAUCCCAACUUUUCAAUGUUCUCUCAGACUUUUUGACCCCAGUGUACAUUCAUGUUAGAAACAGGAAACAUUUUCUGAUAUCAAAACGUCUCUUUCUCGUUCACUUUUAGUUCAUAUAUCUGCAUGCUGGUCCUCAUUAAUGUUUUUCUGCACUUUGUCCUGAUCUGCAUACUGGAGUUUCUUUACAGUGCCUAUACAGUCCCAGCAGGCAUUAUGCCUGUUUUCCCUCAUCCCAGAAACAGCCACUCAGAAAGUCCUUUGCACUUGUAUGUUUUAUUAUAUAAUAGGCCCUGGCCUGCUCCUACAUAAGUCUUGAUGUGUACCAUAUGUUGAAAGCGAUCCUUCACUGCUAUGAUCCAGGAUGAAAACACAAUCAUAGCUCGUCAGAGCUCCCCCUCAGACAAACAGAAUAUAGCUGUUCGGACUAUGACAUCCUAAAACAGAGAACCUGAAAUCUGGGCA